UGGACCUUCUCAAGACCCUGUAUAUAUUAUACUUAUACAUAAUAUAGCUGUAUAUGAAAUUACGUCAUUUAAAAAAAUACAUAUAUAAUGCGUAUAAAUAAGAAAAGAGUAAGUAAUCAUUUUCGAUCGUUCUGCCGAAGAGAGGUAAGAAAAGGGAGAUCGCUCUCGUUUUUUCUGACGACCGUAACACGCACACCGCGAACGGAAGGCAAUAAAAA